rnacentral:rRNA from 1 species
GGGGAAUAUUGGACAAUGGGGGCAACCCUGAUCCAGCAAUUCUGUGUGCACGAAGAAGGUUUUCGGAUUGUAAAGUGCUUUCAGCAGGGAAGAAAAAAAUGACGGUACCUGCAGAAGAAGCGACGGCUAAAUACGUGCCAGCAGCCGCGGUAAUACGUAGGUGGCAAGCGUUGUCCGGAAUUAUUGGGCGUAAAGGGCGCGCAGGCGGCUUCUUAAGUCUGUCUUAAAAGUGCGGGGCUUAACCCCGUGAUGGGAUGGAAACUGGGAAGCUCAGAGUAUCGGAGAGGAAAGCGGAAUUCCUAGUGUAGCGGUGAAAUGCGUAGAUAUUAGGAGGAACACCAGUGGCGAAAGCGGCUUUCUGGACGAAAACUGACGCUGAGGCGCGAAAGCCAGGGGAGCGAACGGGAUUAGAUACCCCGGUAGUCCUGGCCGUAAACGAUGGGUACUAGGUGUAGGAGGUAUCGACCCCUUCUGUGCCGGAGUUAACGCAAUAAGUACCCCGCCUGGGGAGUACGGCCGCAAGGUUG